rnacentral:rRNA from 1 species
UACGUAGGGUGCGAGCGUUGUCCGGAAUUACUGGGCGUAAAGAGCUCGUAGGUGGUUUGUCGCGUUGUUCGUGAAAACUCACAGCUUAACUGUGGGCGUGCGGGCGAUACGGGGCAGACUGGAGUACUGCAGGGGAGACUGGAAUUCCUGGUGUAGCGGUGGAAUGCGCAGAUAUCAGGAGGAACACCGGUGGCGAAGGCGGGUCUCUGGGCAGUAACUGACGCUGGAGGAGCGAAAGCCGUGGGGAGCGAACAGG